rnacentral:rRNA from 1 species
AGUCAACGCUGGCGGCGUGCCUCAGACAUGCAAGUCGAACGAUUAAAGCUCUCUUCGGAGAGUGUAUAGAGUGGCGCACGGGGUGAGUAACACGUAAGUAAUCUACCUUCGAGUGGGGAAUAACGUCCGGAAACGGACGCUAAUACCGCAUAAUGCAGCGGCAUCGCAAGAUGACAGUUGUUAAAGAUUUAUCGCUUGAAGAGGAGCUUGCGGCAGAUUAGCUAGUUGGUAAGGUAACGGCUUACCAAGGCUACGAUCUGUAUCCGGUCUAAGAGGACGGUCGGACACACUGACACUGAAUAACGGGUCAGACUCCUACGGGAGGGCA